rnacentral:tRNA from 1 species
UUAAUUGAAGCCAAAUAUCCUAGAGGCAUUUUAUUGUUAAUAAAAUUAUUGAUUUUAAAUUCCAAUUAAA